GCCCGGGUAAGUCCUUCACGACCAGCUCCCCCUGAAUUCCCCCAGGUCUUGACCGAAGCAAGGGUAGGGGGUUGAGCGGUGCGAUGAAGUAAGCUUACCCACC
rnacentral:SRP_RNA from 1 species